AGCAGUCGCCGCGGGAAUACGAAGGGUGCAAGCGUUAAUCGGAAUUACUGGGCGUAAAGCGUGCGUAGGCGGUGAGUUAAGUCUGCUGUGAAAUCCCCGGGCUCAACCUGGGAACUGCGUUUGUUACUGGCAGACUUGAGUGUGGCAGAGGGGGGUAGAAUUCCACGUGUAGCAGUGAAAUGCGUAGAGAUGUGGAGGAAUACCGAUGGCGAAGGCAGCCCCCUGGGCCAAUACUGACGCUCAUGCACGAAAGCGUGGGGAGCAAACAGGAUUAGAUACCCCGGUAGUCCCUGUCUCUUAUAC
rnacentral:rRNA from 1 species